UACGUAGGGCGCAAGCGUUGUCCGGAAUUAUUGGGCGUAAAGCGCUCGUAGGCGGCUUGUCACGUCGGUUGUGAAAGCCCGGGGCUUAACCCCGGGUCUGCAGUCGAUACGGGCAGGCUAGAGUGUGGUAGGGGAGAUCGGAAUUCCUGGUGUAGCGGUGAAAUGCGCAGAUAUCAGGAGGAACACCGGUGGCGAAGGCGGAUCUCUGGGCCAUUACUGACGCUGAGGAGCGAAAGCGUGGGGAGCGAACAGG
rnacentral:rRNA from 1 species